UCUACGGGCGGCAGCAGUGGGGAAUAUUGGACAAUGGGCGAAAGCCUGAUCCAGCCAUGCCGCGUGUGUGAAGAAGGCCUUCGGGUUGUAAAGCACUUUCAGUGGGGAAGAAAGCCUUGGGGCUAAUACCCUCGAGGAAGGACAUCACCCACAGAAGAAGCACCGGCUAACUCCGUGCCAGCAGCCGCGGUAAUACGGAGGGUGCGAGCGUUAAUCGGAAUUACUGGGCGUAAAGCGCGCGUAGGCGGUCUGAUAAGCCGGUUGUGAAAGCCCCGGGCUCAACCUGGGAACGGCAUCCGGAACUGUCAGGCUAGAGUGCAGGAGAGGAAGGGAGAAUUCCCGGUGUAGCGGUGAAAUGCGUAGAGAUCGGGAGGAAUACCAGUGGCGAAGGCGGCCUUCUGGACUGACACUGACGCUGAGGUGCGAAAGCGUGGGUAGCAAACAGGAUUAGAUACCCGUGUAGUC
rnacentral:rRNA from 1 species